rnacentral:rRNA from 1 species
UUGGGAGCUCUCCCNUAUGGUCGACCUGCAGGCGGCCGCGAAUUCACUAGUGAUUAGAGUUUGAUCCUGGCCCAGGACGAACGCUGGCGGUAUGCUUAACACAUGCAAGUCGAACGAGAAGAUCAGUUAAGAACCUUCGGGGGAAUAAGUGAUUGGAAAGUGGCGAACGGGUGAGUAACGCGUGGGUAACCUGCCCUAUGGAAAGGAAUAGCCUCGGGAAACUGGGAGUAAAGCCUUAUAUUAUGGAGAGAUCGCAUGGUCAUUUCAUGAAAACUCCGGUGCCAUAGGAUGGACCCGCGUCCCAUUAGCUAGUUGGUGAGAUAACAGCCCACCAAGGCGACGAUGGGUAACCGGUCUGAGAGGGCGAACGGUCACACUGGAACUGAGACACGGUCCAGACUCCUACGGGAGGCAGCAGUGGGGAAUAUUGCGCAAUGGGGGCAACCCUGACGCAGCAAUACCGCGUGAGUGAAGAAGGUUUUCGGAUCGUAAAGCUCUGUUAUUGGGGAAGAAAACAUGACGGUACCCAAUGAGGAAGUCCCGGCUAACUACGUGCCAGCAGCCGCGGUAAUACGUAGGGGACAAGCGUUGUCCGGAAUGACUGGGCGUAAAGGGCGCGUAGGCGGUCUGAUAAGUCAGAUGUGAAAGGUACCGGCUCAACCGGUGACGUGCAUUUGAAACUGUCAGACUUGAGUAUUGGAGAGGCAAGUGGAAUUCCUAGUGUAGCGGUGAAAUGCGUAGAUAUUAGGAGGAACACCAGUGGCGANNNGGCUUGCUGGACAAAUACUGACGCUGAGGUGCGAAAGCGUGGGGAGCGAACAGGAUUAGAUACCCUGGNAGUCCACGCCAUAAACGAUGAAUGCUAGGUGUUGGGGAAACUCAGUGCCGCANUUNACACANUAAGCAUUCCNCCNGGGAGUACGACCGC